UUGGACAUGUAUUCAGCUACCAACUUCGGUACGCUCUCCACGCUCUUCCAACCUGACAUGAAAUAAAAUUACUACCUAAUGCAGAAUCGGCACAAGAGAAAAUACUCCUAAUUAAGCAUGUUUACAGCAAUAUCAGGCAAUAAUUCAAAAGUAACAAUCUUAAAAUCCAAAACAGAUCUUCUACCUCUUUUGGCCUAUAAUACAACUAAAAUGGUAAUCAAGUUUCUAAUUUUUAAUCUUCAUUGUAAGUGCAGGAAAGGACAUUUAAUUUUCUUUAUAAGUAAGAGUUGUGCCCCACAUAAUUUGUGUGUUGUUUUAAAAAAGAUGUAUCUUACAUAGAAGAUAAUCUAAGAAGGAUACAUUCUAGAAGUUGUAGAAAGUUUUUUUUUUUUUUAGAACAUUGGAGUAUAACCAGUAACAACUGUCACUACUUAAAAGUGCUGCCAAUUUUGAGUUUCAACUUAAUGGAUUUAAACUGGAAAAGAAGGGGGAAAAGCAUGGAGGAGAUACUAUUUUGCUGGGCAGAAUGUUCUACCUCCUGUUCACACACAGGAGCUUUGAAGGAAUUCUGAAGCUUUGAAAUUCUCCCCCAACUGGAAAUGCAACGGGAAACAGGCGUCUUCCAGUUUUCUCAUCUACAGCAUAUACCAGAGCAUUUAGGAAAGGAACACCAUCAACAAGGAGCCUCCAUUUGAGUUAGCUUUCCUCAGGUGAGCUGGAUUAUAAAUCCCCAUCCACGGACACAACAGGGCAAAGAACUAUUUGGGGCAAUGAAAACUUUCAUUCAUUGCCAAGAAGACAUUUGUGUUCUAUGGAACAGACUGUCUGUAUAAACCUGGCACUGAGAAAAUAUAUCAAACCCCUCCUUGUUCCACUUGAUAAGCCAAAUGUGCACACAUACAGGGUUGAAUUCACAUACACUGUUCUACCAAAAAGCAAAUAAAGCACAUUUGAUUACUGUAACACACAAACCAGGAAGAAAAAUGAAAAGUACCAACCUUAUUUUCUGGCAGAGAUUCGUUUUAGGGUUUAAGCAGAAUUUGCAUUCGCCACAUUGAGGAAUAUAUAGAGGGAUAACCGUGUCUCCUGAAAAACAGAUAAUAAUUUCAUCGGAUCAAAAGUACAGUGUAUUAAAUUAGAACGCCUCUAUUCACACAUUUCUCUAUUUUGGGUGGUUAAGGAUUGUAGGGGAUAUGUCAAGGAACACAAUAAACAAGAGGUUGGGUAGAUCAUUCAAUUCUCUCCACUCCCUAUUUGAGAGGUUCUGUUUUUUGCCUUAAAAAAUAAAAUGUGUUAAACUCA